CAGUAGCCGCGGUAAUACGUAGGGGGCGAGCGUUGUCCGAAGUUACUGGGCGUAAAGCGCGCGUAGGCGGCUUCUUAAGUCUGAGGUGAAAGGUUCAACGCUUAACGUGGACGGUGCCUUGGAUACUGGGGAGCUUGAGUAUGGGAGAGGGCAGUGGAAUGGCUGGUGUAGCGGUGAAAUGCGUAGAGAUGUGGAGGAACACCAGUGGCGAAGGCGACUCUCUGGUCUGUAACUGACGCUGGGGAGCGAAAGCGUGGGGAGCGAACAGGAUUAGAGACCCCAGUAGUCCCUGUCUCUUAUA
rnacentral:rRNA from 1 species